AAAAGAAGAAAAAGAAAUAAAAACAUCAUAUAAAAAGUUUCAUAUUGCGGAAGAGAAUUUUGGGCACCUAAAAUGGAUAACAUUCUUCAUUCAACUUCAACCCAACCAGGAUCAUUGCAGACUGCUACAUCAACUACAGGAAAUCGUUCAGAUGGCGAUUCCAUGUACGAGGCUGUCCUAGAAGGCGACUGGGAAGCUAUUGAGAAGCUUCUAGAAAGAGCCCCGUCCCUAGCUUUUGUUGAAAUAAACGAGAGGGGCGAUAGAGCUCUCCAUCUUGCUGCUGCGAUGGGGAACGAGGAAAUUGUACGAGAGCUGGUGGAGCGCAUAAGCUCGUGCGAUGACUUAGCAUUGCUAGACGGGCGCGGAUGCACAGCGUGUUGCUAUGCAGCUAUCUCGGGGGACGUUGAAGUUGCUGAUAUAAUGCUGAGAAAGAAUCCGUGUUUGGUGACUGCGCGUGACAAAAAUAACGCCACGCCCCUCCAUAAGGCAGCUUUCUGUGGGAAUAAGGAAAUGGUCUCUUAUUUUCUCAAAUCUACUAAGGUUGAAGAUUUUUCAAACCAAGAAUGGUUUGAUAUCUUGUUGCUCCUUGUACGGACAAGAAUGUAUGAUGUGGGUUUAGAACUAUUAGAGAAGAAUGUAUCUCUGGCUACAAUGAGGAAUGAAGAAGGAACCGUCUUGCAUGCAUUGGCACGACAGGAUAUUUCACACUUCCGCGCUAAUAGAAGAAUAUUAGAUAGUCGUCAUGUGAAAAAGGCUACCAUGAAAGGCGUACCAAGGCGCCAAAUUGAAGGAGUGAUGCAACCCGAUCUUCAGUUGUUAGCUGAGAAGGUAUGGACCGAGGUUCAAAGACUGGAUCGGGCAAGAGUGCGUGAUCUAAUGAAAAAUCCUUUGAUUCUUCACGACGCGGCUAGGUUUGGGAAUGUCGAGCUUAUAACAAUGCUUACUCGGGAUUACCCUAAUCUGAUUUGGGAAACAGAUAGCGACGGGUAUACCAUAUUUCAUGUUGCUGUAAUGUAUCGAAGAGAAAAUGUGUUUAGACUAAUUUACUCUUUUGGAGCUUUCAAACAUCUUCUUGCAACCUCACAAGAUCAAAAUGGCGACCACAUUUUGCAUCUAGCAGCAAAAUGACCUCCUCCCAAUUCAAGGAAUGUAGUAUCCAUUCCACCCUUCCAGAUGCAGAAAGAGUUAGCUUGGUUUAAGGAAGUGGAGGCAAUUUCUACAGCAUCAUAUCUAGAACGGAGAAACAAAGAAGGACAGACAUCAAGGGAAGUGUUUAGCAAGGAGCACAAGUCCCUCCUAGAAAAGAGUGAAAUGUGGAUGAGAAACACGGCAGAUUCGUGUAUGCUAAUUGCCACUAUCAUGCUUACCGUCGUCUUCACAGCCGCCUUCACUGUGCCGGGAGGAAACAACAAGGACGGCUUGCCAGCACUACUCCACAAGAGUUGGUUCACAUGUUUCGUUAUUUUUGAAGCGUUGGCUUUGUUUGGGUCGACGCUUUCUAUCAUAGUGUUCUGGUCGAUCAUGACAUCGAGCUUCGAAGAAAGCCAAUUCUUGAAUACAUUACCUACGCAGAUGAAAGUCGGACUAAUUGGGUUGUUGAUAUCUCUUGUUGGCUCCAUCUCGACAUUCAUGUCAGCAUAUUUCUUGAUGUUUGUUUCUGUGAGAGGGUGGCUUGUUAAGUUGGUUAUCAUUGAUGUUUAUGUGACGGUUCUUCUAGCGAUUGGGAUCGAGAUUGUCAAGUUGUUGCUCAACACAAACCUUCAGCGGUUUCUCUCUGAGUUGGUGCCCCGUGCCACACCAGAGAACCUGGUAAGACCGGUGCUACGGAUGAAGCACUGAGCUUUCCGACCUUAUUGAUGCGAUUCAACCAGAACUUUUCAGCGGGUUAUCAGCUGCAAGUUAAAGUUGGGUCUAUGAUCAUUGUAUUAUGUGUGCCCUAUGAUAUAUUUUUAAG